rnacentral:misc_RNA from 1 species
GAUGAAGAACGUAGUGAAAUGCGAUAAGUAAUGUGAAUUGCAGAAUUCAGUGAAUCAUCGAAUCUUUGAACGCACAUUGCGCCCUCUGGUAUUCCGGGGGGCAUGCCUGUUCGAGCGUCAUUAUAACCACUCCAGCUCUCGCUUGGUAUUGGGGUUCGCGGUUCCGCGGCCCCUAAAAUCAGUGGCGGUGCCUGUCGGCUCUACGCGUAGUAAUACUCCUCGCGAUUGAGUCCGGUAGGUCUACUUGCCAGCAACCCCCAAUUUUUACAGGUUGACCUCGGAUCAGGUAGGGAUACCCGCUGAACUUAAGCAUAUCAAUAAGCGGAGGA